rnacentral:tRNA from 1 species
GGGGUCUUAGCUCAAUUGGGAGAGCGCCUGCCUUGCAAGCAGGAGGUUGUGGGUUCGAUCCCCAUAGACUCCACCA